rnacentral:rRNA from 1 species
AUUGAACGCUGGCGGCAGGCCUAACACAUGCAAGCCGAGCGGGGUUUUCGGACCUAGCGGCGGACGGGUGAGUAAUGCGUAGGAAGCUGCCCGAUAGAGGGGGAUACCAGUUGGAAACGACUGUUAAUACCGCAUAAUGUCUACGGACCAAAGUGUGGGACCUUCGGGCCACAUGCUAUCGGAUGCGCCUACGUGGGAUUAGCUAGUUGGUGAGGUAAUGGCUCACCAAGGCGACGAUCUCUAGCUAGUUUGAGAGGAUGAUCAGCCACACUGGAACUGAGACACGGUCCAGACUCCUACGGGAGGCAGCAGUGGGGAAUAUUGGACAAUGGGCGCAAGCCUGAUCCAGCCAUGCCGCGUGUGUGAAGAAGGCCUUCGGGUUGUAAAGCACUUUCAGCGAGGAGGAAGGGUGGUGUGUUAAUAGCACAUCAUUUUGACGUUACUCGCAGAAGAAGCACCGGCUAACUCUGUGCCAGCCGCCGCAGUAAGAC